UCUAAUAUGGCAGAAUAGUGCAUUGGACUUAAACCCCAAAUAUAAAAUCUAAUUUUUAUUAGAA
rnacentral:tRNA from 1 species